GGUUAAGUUAUAAAGGGCGCACGGCGGAUGCCUUGGCACUAGGAGCCGAUGAAGGACGGCACUAACACCGAUAUGCUUCGGGGAGCUGUAA
rnacentral:ncRNA from 1 species